rnacentral:misc_RNA from 1 species
AACUUUUAGCAACGGAUCACGCAUCGAUGAAGAACGCAGCGAAAUGCGAUACGUAAUGUGAAUUGCAGAAUUCAGAGAAUCAUCGAAUCUUUGAACGCACCUUGCGCCCCUUGGUAUUCCGAGGUGCACACCCGUUUCAGAGUCGUGAAAAUCUCAACCUUCUCGGUUCCUUCUGGACACCGAAGGAGGCUUGGACUUUGGAGGCCUUUGCUAUCGUCUCUCGCCAGCUCCUCUCAAAUGAAUUAGCGGGGUCCUCUUUGCCGAUCCUCGACAUGUGAUAAGAUGUUUCCAUGUCUUGGUUUGUGGCUCUGUUGCUUUUGGGACCCGCUUCUAACCGUCUUGGAGAGACAACGUUUGAGCACGUCUCCCCUCUUUCGGGGGAAACGCUCUCGAACCCACGAACCCUUGACCUCAAAUCGGGUGAGACUACCCGCUGAACUUAAGCAUAUCAAUAAGCGGAGGCU